rnacentral:rRNA from 1 species
GAUGAACGCUGGCGGCGUGCUUAAUACAUGCAAGUCGAACGGAGGUUUUGUAGUAAUACGAGAUCUCAGUGGCGAACGGGCGAGUAACGAGUUGGUGACUUGCCCCGAAGUGUGGGAUAACAGUCCGAAAGGAUUGCUAAUACCGCAUGUGGUCAUCGGGUUUAGAAAGCGAUGAUUAAAGCAGAAACGCGCUUCGGGAGAGACCUGCUUCCCAUCAGCUAGUUGGUGAGGUAACGGCCCACCAAGGCUACGACGGGUAAGGGACCUGAGAGGGUGGUCCCUCGCAAUGGCACUGAAACACGGGCCAUACACCUACGGGUGGCAGCAGUAGGGAAUAUUGGGCAAUGGGCGAAAGCCUGACCCAGCAACGCCGCGUGCACGAUGAAGGCCUUCGGGUCGUAAAGUGCUUUUCUGAGGAAUGAGAAAGGACAGUACCUCAGGAAUAAGCCUCGGCUAACUACGUGCCAGCCGCCGCCGUAACAC